GACCCAGUGGUGUAGUGGAAACACACUUGUUAAAUUUCAUAUAGAGGAUCCCCAAGUAUGUAAGAGCUCUCUGUUCAAGUCAGGGCUGGGUCA